UUAAGCGACUAAGCGUACACGGUGGAUGCCCUGGCAGUCAGAGGCGAUGAAGGACGUGCUAAUCUGCGAUAAGCGUCGGUAAGGUGAUAUGAACCGUUAUAACCGGCGAUUUCCGAAUGGGGAAACCCAGUGUGAUUCGUCACACUAUCAUUAACUGAAUCCAUAGGUUAAUGAGGCGAACCGGGGGAACUGAAACAUCUAAGUACCCCGAGGAAAAGAAAUCAACCGAGAUUCCCCCAGUAGCGGCGAGCGGACGGGGAGCAGCCCAGAGCCUGAAUCAGUGUGUGUGUUAGUGGAAGCGUCUGGAAAGGCGUGCGAUACAGGGUGACAGCCCCGUACACAAAAAUGCACAUAUUGUGAGCUUGAUGAGUAGGGCGGGACACGUGGUAUCCUGUCUGAAUAUGGGGGGACCAUCCUCCAAGGCUAAAUACUCCUGACUGACCGAUAGUGAACCAGUACCGUGAGGGAAAGGCGAAAAGAACCCCGGCGAGGGGAGUGAAAAAGAACCUGAAACCGUGUACGUACAAGCAGUGGGAGCACGCUUAGGCGUGUGACUGCGUACCUUUUGUAUAAUGGGUCAGCGACUUAUAUUCUGUAGCAAGGUUAACCGAAUAGGGGAGCCGAAGGGAAACCGAGUCUUAACUGGGCGUUAAGUUGCAGGGUAUAGACCCGAAACCCGGUGAUCUAGCCAUGGGCAGGUUGAAGGUUGGGUAACACUAACUGGAGGACCGAACCGACUAAUGUUGAAAAAUUAGCGGAUGACUUGUGGCUGGGGGUGAAAGGCCAAUCAAACCGGGAGAUAGCUGGUUCUCCCCGAAAGCUAUUUAGGUAGCGCCUCGUGAAUUCAUCUCCGGGGGUAGAGCACUGUUUCGGCAAGGGGGUCAUCCCGACUUACCAACCCGAUGCAAACUGCGAAUACCGGAGAAUGUUAUCACGGGAGACACACGGCGGGUGCUAACGUCCGUCGUGAAGAGGGAAACAACCCAGACCGCCAGCUAAGGUCCCAAAGUCAUGGUUAAGUGGGAAACGAUGUGGGAAGGCCCAGACAGCCAGGAUGUUGGCUUAGAAGCAGCCAUCAUUUAAAGAAAGCGUAAUAGCUCACUGGUCGAGUCGGCCUGCGCGGAAGAUGUAACGGGGCUAAACCAUGCACCGAAGCUGCGGCAGCGACGCUUAUGCGUUGUUGGGUAGGGGAGCGUUCUGUAAGCCUGCGAAGGUGUGCUGUGAGGCAUGCUGGAGGUAUCAGAAGUGCGAAUGCUGACAUAAGUAACGAUAAAGCGGGUGAAAAGCCCGCUCGCCGGAAGACCAAGGGUUCCUGUCCAACGUUAAUCGGGGCAGGGUGAGUCGACCCCUAAGGCGAGGCCGAAAGGCGUAGUCGAUGGGAAACAGGUUAAUAUUCCUGUACUUGGUAUUACUGCGAAGGGGGGACGGAGAAGGCUAUGUUGGCCGGGCGACGGUUGUCCCGGUUUAAGCGUGUAGGCUGGUUUUCCAGGCAAAUCCGGAAAAUCAAGGCUGAGGCGUGAUGACGAGGCACUACGGUGCUGAAGCAACAAAUGCCCUGCUUCCAGGAAAAGCCUCUAAGCAUCAGGUAACAUCAAAUCGUACCCCAAACCGACACAGGUGGUCAGGUAGAGAAUACCAAGGCGCUUGAGAGAACUCGGGUGAAGGAACUAGGCAAAAUGGUGCCGUAACUUCGGGAGAAGGCACGCUGAUAUGUAGGUGAAGUCCCUUGCGGAUGGAGCUGAAAUCAGUCGAAGAUACCAGCUGGCUGCAACUGUUUAUUAAAAACACAGCACUGUGCAAACACGAAAGUGGACGUAUACGGUGUGACGCCUGCCCGGUGCCGGAAGGUUAAUUGAUGGGGUCAGCGCAAGCGAAGCUCUUGAUCGGAGCCCCGGUAAACGGCGGCCGUAACUAUAACGGUCCUAAGGUAGCGAAAUUCCUUGUCGGGUAAGUUCCGACCUGCACGAAUGGCGUAAUGAUGGCCAGGCUGUCUCCACCCGAGACUCAGUGAAAUUGAACUCGCUGUGAAGAUGCAGUGUACCCGCGGCAAGACGGAAAGACCCCGUGAACCUUUACUAUAGCUUGACACUGAACAUUGAGCCUUGAUGUGUAGGAUAGGUGGGAGGCUUUGAAGUGUGGACGCCAGUCUGCAUGGAGCCGGCCUUGAAAUACCACCCUUUAAUGUUUGAUGUUCUAACGUGGACCCGUGAUCCGGGUUGCGGACAGUGUCUGGUGGGUAGUUUGACUGGGGCGGUCUCCUCCUAAAGAGUAACGGAGGAGCACGAAGGUUGGCUAAUCCUGGUCGGACAUCAGGAGGUUAGUGCAAUGGCAUAAGCCAGCUUGACUGCGAGCGUGACGGCGCGAGCAGGUGCGAAAGCAGGUCAUAGUGAUCCGGUGGUUCUGAAUGGAAGGGCCAUCGCUCAACGGAUAAAAGGUACUCCGGGGAUAACAGGCUGAUACCGCCCAAGAGUUCAUAUCGACGGCGGUGUUUGGCACCUCGAUGUCGGCUCAUCACAUCCUGGGGCUGAAGUAGGUCCCAAGGGUAUGGCUGUUCGCCAUUUAAAGUGGUACGCGAGCUGGGUUUAGAACGUCGUGAGACAGUUCGGUCCCUAUCUGCCGUGGGCGCUGGAGAACUGAGGGGGGCUGCUCCUAGUACGAGAGGACCGGAGUGGACGCAUCACUGGUGUUCGGGUUGUCAUGCCAAUGGCACUGCCCGGUAGCUAAAUGCGGAAGAGAUAAGUGCUGAAAGCAUCUAAGCACGAAACUUGCCCCGAGAUGAGUUCUCCCUGACCCUUUAAGGGUCCUGAAGGAACGUUGAAGACGACGACGUUGAUAGGCCGGGUGUGUAAGCGCAGCGAUGCGUUGAGCUAACCGGUACUAAUGAACCGUGAGGCUUAACCUU
rnacentral:rRNA from 1 species